AUACGGAGGGUGCGAGCGUUAAUCGGAAUUACUGGGCGUAAAAGGUGCGUAGGUGGUUGAAUAAGUUGGUUGUGAAAGUCCUGGGCUUAACCUGGGGAUUGCGAUUGAUACUGUUUGACUAGAGUAUAGGAGAGGGUAGUGGAAUUUCCGGUGUAGCGGUGAAAUGCGUAGAGAUCGGAAGGAACACCGGUGGCGAAGGCGGCUACCUGGCCUGAUACUGACACUGAGGCACGAAAGCGUGGGGAGC
rnacentral:rRNA from 1 species